UGCCCCGUGGCUGAGUUGGUUACAGCGGUUGACUGUUAAACUGGUCUCAUCUCGAGAUCACAAGACAAUCAGACGGUCGAGAGUUCGAGUCUCUCCGGGGCAG